rnacentral:rRNA from 1 species
CCUACGGGAGGCAGCAGUGAGGAAUAUUGGUCAAUGGGCGAGAGCCUGAACCAGCCAAGUCGCGUGAGGGAGUACUGCCCUAUGGGUUGUAAACCUCUUUUGUCGGGGAGCAAAAGCCGGACGUGUCCGGCUGUGAGAGUACCCGAAGAAAAAGCAUCGGCUAACUCCGUGCCAGCAGCCGCGGUAAUACGGAGGAUGCGAGCGUUAUCCGGCUUUUUUGGGGUUAAAGAGUGCGCAGGCGGAUUUUUAAGGCAGCGGGCAAAUAGUGGGGCUCACCCCCAUCCAGCCG